GUCAGUGUGACGGACCGCCUGGCACCCUGACCGGGUCCUUCCAUCAAUCGCUGCUUCCUAGUAUCACUGAGUACUAUAAGCACCGCACCAGACACCAUAAACACCGUAGCUCUCCUUAGCCGCUGCAGCUUGGCUGGGGUCUAGCCAGUGGCGUACACAUGACCCAUGGGGCCCCGGUGCGAAAAUUGAUCCGUGGGCCCCCCCC